rnacentral:lncRNA from 1 species
UAAGGUACACAUAUACAAACAUAAAAAUCUACACGAUCAUAUGCUCACAGGAAAACGAUGAGACACAUGACAGCUGGACAGUGGUGGUACAUGCCUUUAAUUAAUCCCAGCACUUGAGGGGCAGAGGCAGGUGGAUCUCUGAGCUCAAGGCCAGCCUGAUGUACAAAGUGAGUUCCAGGACAGCCAGGGCAACACAGAGACCCUGUCUCAAAACAAAACCCAAAAACCAAACAAAUAAAAACACCAAAAUCCAAAAUCCAACCAGCCAAAACCUAGAACAAUCUAUCCUCCCCUCCUCCAAAAAGAAACACAGAUGGCUCCUUCAGGACUGGCAAAACUGUACCACAGUACCACAGCUUUUCACUGAGAGCUUUACUAUGUAAGAGCACUGUAUUAAUGUGCAUGUUAGCGCUAUUCCUCCCUGUUAUGAAUUAGUAAAAUAAGAUUUCAGGAGUCUAUAUGCUUUCAAGCAGAUUCCUGGACAAGGAAGUAGUGAAGGUGAACUAGGUCUUCAGUUACCUAACUUCACAGCUCGCCCUUAGUUACUGAGUGAAGUUCUGAUAACAGUGUGAGGAUGAAAACUGAUGAGAUGAUGCAAGCCAGUGCUCAGCUAAGAGAGAACAGAAAGGCAGCUGUGCAAGGGGAAGGUGGACGUGAGCCUUAGAAGUACUCAGUUUCUGCCACUGUUAUGUUAUUAUAAAGUGAUACAUAACAGUUAGGAAAGAGUAGGAAAGAAGGAAUGCCAGCAACAAUUGAACAUCACAAUAGUAUGGUGUGGCUGGCCAAUUAAAAAAAAUGUAUUCAGGACCCAGACUCUCCUAGAUUUCUAGAAAGAUGAGGAGGAAGAUGAAAACUUACCAGUGAUAAUAGCGGAAUCGAGGCCUCCAGUUGGGGGUUCGCAGCAAUGUUUGCAAGGCACAAGCCAAGUUCACAAAGAGGUAACACAUGAGAAAAAACCUGGAGGAAUAAAAACAGUAAGUGGAAUUAUUAUAAAAUGAUAUAAUAAUUCAACUGGAGGCCUGUGCACUACUAAACCCUAUUUAUACAGCACCAACCAUUUAAAGAACUUUAGAAGCCUUCUCUCCCAAAUCUGUUUAUCUUCCAAUGUUCUCUCUUGGCUGAUGAAACCUUUUUUUUUUUGGCUAGGUAGUGGUAGAACAUGUCUUUAAUCCCAGCACUUGGGAGGCAGGAGUAGGUACAUCUCUGAGUUUGAGGCCAGCCUGGUCUACAGAAUGAGUUCCAGGACAGUCAGGGCUAUACAGAGAAACCCUGUCUCAAACACAAAAAAAAUGUGUAUGUGUUUUCCUGCAUGUAUGUCUCUGUGCCAUGUGUGCGCUAAGAGCCUGUGGAGGUGGAAGAGGGUGUUGGAUCCCCUUGGACUGGAAUUACAGAAAAUUGUAAGCAGCCAUGUGGCUGCUGGGAAUUGAACGCAGGACCUCUGGAAGAGCAGAAAGUGCUCUUACUCACUGAGCCAUCUCUUGGGCCCAGCACAACCAUUCUUUUCCCAGAUGAUCAGGACUUAAUCCCUAUUUCUACUUCCUUAUUCAUUCUUCCCCUACAUUUACCUACCAAGAACUACAGUUCUGCCGACUUCAAACUUCCAAAACUUCUUUAUUUUCUUGUUUAGUGCCCUCACCUUAGUUCAGGCUUGCACUUCUUUUUUUUUCCAACUUCUAGUUUAAUACUAUCCUCUUCUAGUCCCUCCCCCCACACACAUACUUUUUUUCUUUUGAGACAGUCUCAUUUAUGUAACUUUGGCUGUCCUAGAACUGUCUAGAUAUAUAUAUACCAAGCUGGCUUCAAACUCACAGAUCUGUCUGCCUCUGCCUCCUGGGCUGAACUGAAAAGGUAUGUACCACCAUACCGAGUGAAGAUUGAUUUACUUUUAUAUGUAAGGGUGACUGCAGAGGCCAGAAAAGGGCACUGAAUCCCCUGGAACUACAGAGUAAGACACAGCCUCCUUCUCUGCGUAACAAAUAACUAGUUAUCUUCAAGACACAUGCCACUGGCUACAGAAACUUCCUUUCUAUGUGCUGUGCUUUCGUGGCACCCAGCAGUUACCUUUACCACUCUUCAUUCAUUGUACUAUAUGGGAACUCAUGGAUUUCUCACCUAUUAUCAGUGUCUUGAGACAUCUUCAUAUUCCCAAUGUCAGAUAGACAAUAAAUCAUCAGUAAUGCACAGGUAAAUGAGUAGAUGCCAAAAGUGAAAUCAACUGCUAAUGACUCAUAAAAUACAGGCAGGGGCUAGAGAAUGUAGCUCAGCAGUAGAGAGCAUGCCUAGUGCAUAUGAGGCCCUGGGUUCAAAUGCAAGCUUUAUGG